rnacentral:misc_RNA from 1 species
AGAUAAUGUUUAGGCAUGUGGACAGAUGUGGCAAAUUGUUUAGGGAUUCAAUGGUAUUUUGCUCAGGGUGAGGAUGAAUUAAAUAUCACUAUUCACUGAGCUAGGAACGAUGUUCUAGGAUACAAUGUAGGGAAGGUGCAUGCUACUGCAUUUAUAUAUGAUUGGAUUCAUCCAUCUAGUGAGCCAAACUCAGUAUGAAGUUUCAGGAACCUCAGGCUAUUAGGAACUGAAUUCUUACUGAGUUUUCAAAAAGGAGUGGAUAUCUCCAAUCCAUCUAUAUGCCUGCAACAUAUAACAUGUGAGAUACAUCCCCUUGCAUUCAAACGCAUUGUUUGAUUGAUAAAUAGCACAGCUAUAAAGGUAAAGUAGAGGCUUCUAAUCUCAUCUGCAGAAGAUAUGAGCCAUACAGAUGAGAAUGCUCCCAAGGGUAUUGAAAAUGCUUCUCUUACUACCAAAACUUUUUAUGGACUACUAGUCUCAUUUGAUGUUAAAUAAGUUUAUUGGGCUAGCACUCAAAAAUCAAAACUGUCCAUGAACUAUCAAUGCUCGCUUACCACAAAUUAAUAACAAUUGUUUGCCAUGCCUAAUGGGAAGAUGGUAAAAAAUUGUUUCGAUAAAUUGCAUUGUUGUAUGCCUAUGUGGCAACGGAACGAAUAUUAUACUUGCCACGAGAGAUGAGACAAUGCUUUUGAUUUUAUUUUACUUGAUGAGUAUAGGGACUACUGGGUUUAAUGAGCUAAUUAAGUUACAAAGUUUCGCCAUGUAAUUUUUUUAAUAUUUAUUAAAUGGUGUGUUUGGUUCAAUGAACAGGACAUGAUAAUUCCUUCUUGUCUUGUAUUUGGUGCACUAAUCGAACUGGAAAAUAAUGGAUCUUGUUCUGUCCAGUCCUCUUUUAUAUGUCCAAUCACUCUCCAUUGAAUAGUGUGUUCAGUCCCUAUAAUAUUGUAAAUUGAAAGAUUUUUUUUUUCAAAUUUUUGUAUAUGUGUGUGUUUUUGUGCAUUU